GUCCGCAAACAGCUGCAGCUUCUCAGUAAGAGCCUGGACGAUCACUGCAUCCUUCUGACUCAGCCGUUCUACAAUGGGAAACAACAUAAAUCAUCUUCAGUUACCUUGAAAUUCUUUGAACCUGGAAGCUCGUGCCUCUUCCUCCUCGCUGAACAGCCUCUCUUCAGUAUGAGGACAACUAAGAGGAGACAGGACAGAAGCCAUUACAGAUGCUACCUGUCAACAGCCUGCCGUAUGUGUGUCAUCCAACUGCUUCGCUCCUCCUUGGAGGCUGUGUGGAUCUCGUACAUCUCCGGCUCAUUGGAGGAGGCACAGAUAAGAAACAUGGC